rnacentral:misc_RNA from 1 species
UCAAACUUGGUCAUUUAGAGGAAGUAAAAGUCGUAACAAGGUUUCCGUAGGUGAACCUGCGGAAGGAUCAUUAGUGAUGUCUGAAAGUUUAUUAACUGUGAAGCUGUGGGGUGUGGUGGUUGUGGUGUGGUGGAGCAUCAAGGUUGAGCAUCAGCACACCUAAACAACCGCCGCAUAUCAACAACGCGACAAAAACCAUAACAACAACAACGCGAAACGUUACAACUCCCAGCAGCGGAUCUCUUGGCUCCUGCAUCGAUGAAGAACGCAGC